CUUUACUCUGCCCGUCCACAAACAAGUCUCUGACACAGCCCACAUAACCGUAGUUCAACAGAGCUGUCCACACCUGAGGAAAAGAUAUGGACAGACGCACAACAUCAACACGCACCUCUGUAGGGAAGAUGAGUCCAGCACGGUCCUCAGGUAGUCCUCCCAGACAGCAGGCAGAUGGAAGCCAAAAAAGAAGAGUUGAGAGAGCAGUGAGUGUACCUGAGCGCCCGUCCCUCUGGAAGUCCACG